UUCCAAAUAUCAUUUAUCCGAUUAGCUGCCAAUAUAGACUUGGGAUAGCACAACAUAAUGUACUGUCAGUCAAUGUCUAAAUGCAACAAUUCAUAGUUACAGAAGGUCCUAGAACCUUUUUCUUGCAAAUGCAGAAAAUGUUUCAUUUCAUUGUUUAUAAAACAGCAAUAUCUCAAAAAGUGGUAUUGAUCCACAAUUAAAUCAGCUUAUUUUCCAGUCAUGCCCUUGAGGUGUUUGAUUUAGUUCUAGCAUUAUGCCUGCAAUUCUAAAUGGCCGCCGCUAGAUAGCAACAUUCAUUAUUUCAUUCAUGAAAUCGGUUCUGAGCAUCUAAUGUGUGGUAGCCACUCUUCUGGGUGCUGAGAUAAAAUCUGAAUGAUACAAAAAAAAUUUGAAUGAUAUAUGGUGCCUGCCUUCAAGAAUUUUAGACCCUAUCUGUAGGCAUAUAAGAUGAAGACAAGAAAAUAAUUAAAGGAUUUGAUCAGACUCAGCAAAAGAGAACUGUUGUUUUUUAAACAGUAUAAAUGUCAUAGACUAAAGACAGCAGCAAUGAUUUCUUAAUACUUCUUAGUAGCAUAUAAAAGUUUUUGAUCUGCAGGGUACCGUUGUGAAAUAGAAACGGACCCGCUUGUUUUGCAAGUGAGAAAACCAAAUCUGUGAGAGGUGAAGAUAAAGAUCUUCUAGCCAGUUUCAUGGUAAAGAAUAGAGCUCAGUGGUCCUAAUCCCCGCUACAGAGCUGGUUAUAUUCCAGUGGACUGCCUGCUCUCAUUGUCUCAUCCAUUCAGCAAAAGUUUACGGAGUCCCUUCACUCUACUAAUAAGCACUAGGCAUAUAAAGAUGAACAGUCUCGAAGGAAAGCAGAGAAGGAGAGGAGAAAGGAUUCCUGGAAUGUGUGGGAAAUUGAAGCUCUAAGACCUGAUGACUGAUUGAAUUGGAGAGUAAGCAAGAGGCCAGAGUGCAGAAUGUCUUCGGGGUCAUGGCCCCUUGCUGCAUGAAAUGCAGUUCAUAAAAAUGUGUUGAAAUGAAGACUAUAUGAGAUAUGCAAUCAUAAGCUAGAUUUAAAUGGAUACAUAGGUUUUCCCUACAUCCACAUAAGUUUGUCUUUCAAACCUAAAAAAUUUCCAAUUGCUUGUAGAUAUAAUACUCUCAUUUAUAAUGCAUUGGCACAGUUCACCGUUUUGAAGUAACCUUUGCUACAACUUCAUACUGAGCUAAUUACCUUAACUUGCUUAUGAUAAUUACUUUAGGCAGGACUAUCUUUUUCUUUCUGUACUUUUUAAAGUCAUAUUUUGAGUGGGGAAAAAAAUCACAAACCAGUUUCUUAACAGUGACCAUGGGGAUUUCUACUGAAAAUGUAUUUUGUUGAGAUUUAAGUCCUGAGAGCAUCUAAGAUGUAAGAGAGUGAAUCUGAAUAUGAAAAUUCAGAGCCCUCAGAGUAAUCUGUUUUCCUUUUCAUUGACUCCAGCAUGGAGAGAGGCUCACACAGUUAUGGACCUGGCAGAAUAACAGCUGCCCUCCAGGCGUAGACUUCUAAAAAUUUAAUAAGGUUCCCAUAGGACUUGGGUGGAUGUUGGAGGUUGUAAACCUUUCCAAAUUAACUGCUGAAGUUGGUAACAGACCUUGAUAUUGUAAUGGGUCGUUGGUAGCGAGCCCAUGUGCUGCCUAACCUGGUGUUUCCUCAUGUGGUUUUACCAAUGGCUAGACUAUGCAUUAUACAUUGGCCUUCCCACCCUAACAACUGUGAUCUUCUUCCUGGACCUUAGCAAGUCCCCAUCCUCAGCUGAGACAAGCCUGCAAUUGAUCACUGUCUGCUGGGGCCAUCUUGUGUUUUAGGCUUGUCAGUGAUUUGCUCAGUUCUGACAUUUAGGAUCGGCCAACAACUCUCACGAGCCUGGGACUGCCCAGACCCAAGAGCUGCUGUUGGAUCACACCUCUCUGAACGUCUUGCUCACAACCUCAGCUGUGCCAGCCUGAUGUGGUUGAUCGGAAGUGUUACACUUUGGCUUCUUUGUAGGAUCUAGCCUCAGGCUCAUUUUAAUGACUCUUAAAGUCAUUCACGAUCAAUACAUCCUUACCAUAGCAUCAACAUCAUUCUUUUUCACCGUAGGUGGCUGCCUCUACACAGCUUCAAACAAUUUCUGAGCUUUAUGGCUUACAAUUAGCCAUGAGAGAAAAACUGAUUUCAACGAUGUGUCAUUCCAGUAGUUACACUUCCAGUGAAGGAAUGAGAUUGGCCUAGCUGGAGUUGGGGACCUACCUCUAGAUCAACCCACUUGCCCACAGCCAGGAAUAUCACAAUUGGCCCAGCUUGGCUCGGAUGCUUGUUCCCAGACCUGCGAUAUAUAACCAAUGAGGAAAGACGUGGGGGAAAUAGAGAUGGUCAAUUCAGGAAGAAAGGAAAAGUUUUGGCAUACAAUGACACAGACUAUCACACACACUAUAACUUUGUGUAGUUGACAUGAUUAGGAUUCCAGGUCCAAGUUUGAAUUUAUGAGUAUGGGCUACAAUGAUAGAGAAUGAAAAAGACAAAUGCCCUCAAAUCCUGGUUUUGUCUGUCCUUCAUCCAAAUAUAUUAAAGGUGCCACAAAGUCAAAACGGUAGCGUCAGGCAGGUUUGCACGUGUAGAACUAUGAGGAUUUCUAGUGGCCAUCUAUUCUAGCUGACUUUAUUUAAAAAAAAAUAAUUUAAUCUCAAGGUUGGAGAGAAUCAUGAAUUAUGCAAUAUCAAACACUUCUUAGUAUCUCUUCUAGCUUAGACACGAUGUUGAAGGUUCAAGAAACACAAAGACUGACGAAGACACAGACACACAUGCGUGUAGUCAUGCAUGGCAUUAGGUGCAAAUGGGGAAGCCUAGUCCAGGUUCUAUGAGAGCAGCCAGUGCCGAUUCCAAAUGUGUUAGUGUAUGUGCUAGCAUGUGUGGGUAGAGAUUGGGUACGUGUGAGAGUGUGAGUGAAAGAGGGUGCAGUGUCUAAGUGGUUGGGGGGUGUUUGAGGAUGGAUUCCUGAAGGAGGUAAACCCCUUCUGAUUACUAAAAGAAGAUUAGGACUGAAUCAAAGGGAAUUGAGGAGAUUAGAGCAGAAGCACACUCAAGAUCAAAAGAACAACAUAUAAAUGCCAUAGGAAUGUAGUGUAUCAUGAUAUGUUAAAGGGAUUAUGAAAAGUCAAGGGCUGCUGGACGAGGAAAGAGGCAAAUCUCUUGAAGAGUAAGCCACGAUUUAGGGAGCAGAUUGGGAGGAUCUUCAUUGACACUGCCGAGAUCUUGUUUUUUUAUUGUAAUUUAUGGAAAGCAAGUGAAAAGCUGUAAGCACAGGCCAGUCAAAGAGUAAUAUGGAGUGGAGUGGAGUUGAUGGGUACCAGGCUGUGUCCGGGCAGUCCUUUUACAAGAUCUUUGUAAUUAUCUGGGAAAAAGAUGUCAAGAGACUGAACCUGACCACAGUAGUGGGAUAUGGAGGAAGGCAGACAGGAGGGAGUUCAAGAACAGCAUAGAAAGUAGAAUUAGCAGUGCCUUAAAGUCAUCAAGUUCAAACUCUGAAAGGAUUAUCAUAAUUCUGUGUUAUCCACCAGUCAUCCAAAGCUGUUGGACAUUCCCAGGACUUAGAAGUCAUUGAAUCUGGAGGCACCUUAUUUCACUGUGCAACACUACCCUGUAAAUGUGUGACACUUCAGUGGGAUUUAGUUCACCAGAAAUCUUCUCUCUCCCAAAGAAGAGACCUGUCACAGGGAAGAAGGGAAGGGUCCAGCCCAGAAGGUGCCAUACCAAGCGCAGGAGAUAAAUUUUCCUGGUCUGUCUUUAAUCAAGUGUGUUUUCCAAAGAUGAAUAUGUUUAUAAAAGGCCUAUCUGCUCCGUAAUAUUGUAUUACUUAAAUUUUGAACAUAACGAGCAUGCAGGGGUAGAAGGUUUGCUUUAUUUGUAUAAUCAACGAGCUCUUAACCAUCCUUCUUUGAAACAACUGUCUUUAAACCUCUGUAAAAUGUAUAUUAAAAAUAAUAAUCUUUGAGUUUUUCUUAGAUUGCUUCAUGAAAUCUGAUCUUCUGAUCCAGGUCUUUGUACAGUUAGAAUCUAACUGGAUCAGAUGAUGCCAGAGGUCCCCUCCAGCUCCCUACCACCACAACCAGUUAGCAGAAAUUCCACUUUAAUCACACAGCGGCUGCAGGUCAAAAAAAGGAAAGCAAACCAGAGGUGGAAAUCUCAGCCUAAUGAACAUUGAGAAAAGAUUAGAAGAGGGUUAAAUUUCAGUGUGAUAAUUAAUUACACUCCAACAAGAACAGAAUUUUAUGAAUGUUGGCUAAUUGUAAUUCAAGCUAUAUUCAUUCACACAAAUCUCUUUCCCAACAUCACCUCCAAUUCUGAGGUGGAAAGAGACUAUCUCUUUUCAGUAUUUCUUAUCUCAUUUAUAGUUAAUACAAACAACAAUCUCAAGUCUGUGGAGAUGUAAUUAAUUAUCAAGGUAGUAUUACAUAUCUUACAUAAGUAAUUAUAACUGCAUGUACUCAUUCAUAUUAUCUAAUCAGCUCAAUUAAUUAUUCCUACUUUGGAUGUAGUUUUAUCUUAAGGAUCUUGACAAAAAAUGGUUAUACCAUGACACAACAGAAUAGAAGAUAUCUUACAUGCUAUUUUUUAAUAAAGAGAAUAAAAGAUUCAAAAAUCAAGUGGAUUCUGCGCAUUUUUAAGAGUAACUAUUACAAUGUGAUUGAACAUUUCACUGUAUUCUUUGACAUUCCAAUAGGCCAAGGGGCUACUCAUUCCUUGAGCCAUGCCACCUACAGGGAAGGAAUUAUGCCUGGUUUGAACCAUCUGAGUGAACCAUCUUUUUGCAUGUCUCAGAAGUCAGGCAAACUUCAUCCUAUCCCAUCUAUUAGGAAAAACUAAAGGCAGGAGGAGUGGCCUGAGAAAUAACAAUUCUACCAGCAAGAAGAAAACUAGCCAAUGUAAACUGUGCAGCCUGGCAGAAUACCUAUACUUACUCAGGUAACUUCUAUUGCCUGUGUGGACAGGCAGAAUAGCAAAUUACAGUGUAAGUCAUUACUGUAGAUUAAAGAUUCUUCUUUAACAAUUCUUCUGACAAAUUAAUGCUGAUUGGACAGAAAGAAGCAGAUGCAAUAAAGAGCAACACAGCCACAGGAGAUUAAGGAAAUAAUAAUCUUUCGUUCCGCAGAGGCACCUAAGGCAGGCAGUUGCUGCAGGAAUAGUAACAGCCACGUGCUCCUCUCCAUUUCUCAUCUUCUCCUGCAGUUUGGAGGGGAGGGACUGUGUGAAUAAUUCUUCCCGACAGAAUCUUAAAGGGAACGAUGCAUCACUUCCUGUCAAGUAACUGCCAGGGAUCCCGUUGCCUGGAGACCACUCUUGAACAUCCAUUGCUGUGGCCUCUUGGAGAUUUAAGGCAUCUAAUAAGGAGCUGACAGAAACCAUCAGCUUGCUCCUGAGAAAGUAGCAUUUUUUUUAAAUCACCAUAAAGCACUUGUCUGGAUAUUACGUAUUUCAGUCAUUGGCCCACAUAACUCUACGGUGACGAACAAAAGAAAUGGAUCGAAUAAAGUCAGCUGCAAAUAGAUACCCCCGGCCACGUGCUGGAAUGCAGAUAGCAUAUCAACAAUGAGAUAAAGCUUUCUGAAGCAGAAGGUCACUGAACCAAGAUUUCUGACACAUGUCCAAGUGCUGGCUUUUAAAAUGGAGCGUGACAGAAAGCACAUUCUUUCCGGUCACUGGAAUUCUUUCAAAGAAGCAGUUGUAUGAAAUGGAAGACGACGGUAUAUUGAAGGGUGCUGCUAAAGGGCUCUGAGCAGAGCAGUGACAUGAUCCAAAAUUGGGUUUUGGAAGGAAUCCCUCCGGUUGCUGGGCUGAGAAGAGACGGUCAGGAGUGAGGGUAACCUGAGAAAGAGGACUAGGAGGCAAUGGCAGUAAUCCAGGUGAGAGGUAUUUUUCAGAGAUGAAAUCAGCGACCUUGGUUCUCCAUGAGUUAACUUACCGAUGCUAGCUAGCCCAGACUGAAACGACUUUAUACAUAUGCUAAAGAAAUUUAUUUAGAUAGAUACAGCUCUGCCAAUACAUUUCACCUCGAGAAAUGCUCGGGUAUGCUUUUUAAUUCUUACAUUUUGUGAGCAGGUGGUACAAUGAAUGGACACCAACUUCAAAUAAACUCCCAUAAGAACCAUCAGGACUAACUUACCCGAAAGGAACAUUCAAAUUCACAUCAAUCAAUAACAGCUAAUAAUGGCCUCUGUUAAUUUGUUUUAAUUUUGACCGAGUGAUAAUAUUGCCAUCAUUUUUUUUUUUAACAAUCCUUGAUGGAACUGCUACCUCUGUUGAACUCUUGAGUGUAUCUCGUCCCAAAGAGAAUGAUCAACAAAAUCAGUCCUGGAUACACGCUAUACAUUCUGUUAUACCUACUCAUAGCUCAUCUGUGACAUAGCUUCUGAAUUGAAAGCAAAGAAAAAAAAAAAAACUGGAAGAGAGAGAAUAAAAUAUUUGCUCACAUCUGGGAAGAAUUCAACUAAUUUCUUUAGCUGACUAAGUGACAAUGAUGAGUUAUGGCACAACACUGAUACAGAUAUCUUCAGGAAUACGAACAUGUAUUGGUCAGCAGCUCUACAACGAUGGUGAUACAUAUUUGUGUAGAACCCACAAUAUAUCCGGUUCUUCGGGAGCACAUGAAGGACUGGCCUGUAUUUAAACAAUCCAUUUAUGGGGGCGCCUGGGUGGCUAGGUCAGGGUGCAGUUAGCUGUGAGGUGACAAAUAAGGACACAACGCACACAGUAAUGGAUAUUAGUGGAUGGGACCAGGAGCCAGGGGACCAGAGAA